UGAGGUCAACUGAUGAUUUAAAUGCAUAGUUCAGAUGAUAAUCUGUGAUUAAUUAAAUCUUAUUAGUCUUUCGCUCCUAUCUGAUGACCUCU